GCUCUCUUGCAUAUGCUUGCUCUCCCUUCUGCUCUUUUGCCACGGGAUAUUGCAGCAUGAAAGCUCUCACCAGAUAUAAGCACCGUGCUUUUGGAAUUCUCAGCCCCCAAAAUGGAGUCUCCUAUUAACUUAAUGGAACCCUGCAGCUGUGAAGAAUACUGGGGAGUCUUGGCAACAUCACCAGCACAGCAGCCUUGGCUAACUUCCUGAAUUAGGCCUUUUCUUUGCAGUGCUAUAAUAAAACCAUGGUGCUGAUUUAUGAUGAACGUGGAGAUGUACCACCUAGAUUUCUCUUCAAGGAAGGACUUGUUUCCUCUGCUGAUGGAAUUCCUGUCAACAGAGACCUUUCAGGUGCCAGUGACUUGGAGAAGGCCUGAGCUGUAGAGCAACAUCACCUAAGGUCACGCCCUACGUGAGUCAGCAGAAUCCACUGACUGAUGGAGAUUAUAAAGACUUAGCCAUUUUGUCUCAAUGAGGUGUACCUACAAUGGGUCAUAUGAGCUCCACAGCUCCCUGUGGAGUCAGCUCAGACUGUUGUUGACUUACAUUGUACCUCAACUUCUCUCUCUGCCAAAUCUAGCUCCCUUUACCUCACAAUCAUAGGCGUUCAUCCCAAAGACAUCCCUUAAUAUAAAUAAUGCACAAUAUACUCUAUAUGUUAAUCUGUUCCACAUUAAUUUUUUUAUGUAAAUCUGUGUGUGUGUGUGUGUGUGUGUGUGUGUGUGUGUGUGUGUGUGUGGCAGAAAAGCAUAAAAAUCAUCCCUCUAAACUUUUAUUUAUA
rnacentral:lncRNA from 1 species